AUGUAUUCAAUGCCCAACGAAGAGCGGGAGCAAGAUCCCGAGGGAGAGGCGAGCGGAGGCGAGAGUGGCGAGUGGCACUCGGAUGAAGAGGAGGACGAGGAGAGCGAUGACCCGAGUGAUGAAGAACAAGUUGACUCACCUCCUAGCAGAGAAAGGAGGUCCAAGCACACUCACGACCCGGCAAGCACCCUCGACCUGGUGGCCGCACCAACUGGGAAGUCUUCAAAGCGCCCUCAGACGUCUUCUCCAGUGCCGACUGAGAAGGCACCAACGCAGCCCAAGACUGCGCCGCCUCCAGUGCCUAAACCACCGAAGGCCACAUCUUCCAAUCCACCGAAGGCUUUUCCCAAAAUCAAAGUGAACGUAACCGACUAA
rnacentral:rRNA from 1 species